rnacentral:lncRNA from 1 species
GUGACGUAGGGAGCCGCUCCCCAGGGAUGCGCCCUGCGAGACCUGGGCUGCCCUUGCUCCUAGCCGCUGUCCCGCGACCCUGCGCGCCGCACCCCAGGUCAUCUUUGUUAUGAACCGUUCUGUCCGUCCCCGUCUUGGGACAUGACCCAGGAGACCAGCCAAGAAAAUGAGGGCGGGGAACAGCGGCUGGAAUCCGGGAAAGCCGCCACCCCUCUGCUGCUCUGGGACGGGCGGCCUCCUGGCCACGAUGGAUCUAAGAGUGCUUCAACGAGUUUGCAAAAUGAAGUUUAGGAAACAUUGGCUGGUGUGUUGAAAUAUUCUACCGUUUAUGCUGUAAUGACCACCGCAGGAACGGUCUUCUAAUGCGGCAUGAGGCAAGGAGAAAGAGAUUGGGGGCAAGAUACACCCUCCAAAGCCACGCCUCCAAUGACAUAAUCCAUCCGUGAAGUCAGUGUCUGUGAGCUGCUUACCUCUACACUACACUACACUACACUACACUACACUACACUACACUACACUACACCAGCUGGGAACCACGUGGCCAAGCGUGCACUCUCAGUGCUUCCUGUCCACGCCAUAAUAAACGUGUUUCUCAUCUCUAGAGGUGAACCAUCUAGACCCCUAGAUAAGUCUCAUCUUUUCUUAGCGGCUCUGGAUCCUAAAACCCUUUCCUUCUAACAGAAGGGUAUGCGAGCAGCCGUUGUUGUCUGUCUCUGAGAUUUUAACUUUGCUUCACUCGCCUGGCUCAUCUCCAUCACAAUUUAAAUACGAUACUAAUUUUUCGGCCUUCAAAACAAAAUGUUCUGCAUCUUUCUUCCUCAUAGAGUUGUGUAGUCUCACCAUCACUUUCUCUUACCCUACUCUCAAUCGGGCCACUUUGCACCCCUCAAACGGUUCUCCUCAGUGCCACCCAAGUCUUUCUUGCACAGCAUUGGCACUCACAUCCUCUGGGCAGCCUCAGUCCUAUUACUAUCUGUCGCUGUCAAUUGAAAAACGAAGCUUGAAGAAAGAUGCCGUCAUGAGCUAGGAGAGCUUCAUUCUACAAAGGGAGACUGUGAUAAGAAGGGCUCGGCUCCCUCAGUAUGUUGCUUGCCUUCUUUCUUGCGUUAAGAUCCCUUCAAUGCAAGCUGCUUGACGCUCUCAAGUAACUUCUCAGUCGCAUUCUGAGGCUGGCCAGACAUGGCUACUCGAUCUUCGAUCUUCAGAUUCCAAGCUGUGUGCUAGAUAAACCUCGGUAGCUCUAAAGUAGCCCAGUUUUAAACGCAAAGGAAUCUAGGACAUCAAUUGUAUGCUUGCAUGCAUGUAAGGCUCCCUCGGUCUCCGUUUUGUUUCCUGUUUCUGGGUUAAAACACCCUGAUGGGGCUGGUGAGAUGGCUCAGUGGGUAAGAGCACCCGACUGCUCCUCCGAAAGUCCGAAGUUCAAAUCCCAGCAACCACAUGGUGGCUUACAACCAUCCGUAAUGAGAUCUGACUCCCUCUUCUGGAGUAUCUGAGGAUAGCUACAGUGUACUUACAUGUAAUAAAUAAAUAAAUCUUUAAAAAAAAAAUAAAAAAAAAAACACCCUGAUGAAAGCA